AAGCAGGAUAAGUUACAGUGCAUUUUGUUCAGUACUGCUCUGUCGUUCCCCCUGCACACAGAAACCUGUCUCCUCGCUAUCCCGGUCUGCCUGCAUCCCACGGCUGACGGGGACGCAUGGUCUCAGACAU
rnacentral:snoRNA from 1 species